AUGGGGAAUAGCAGCUCCAGGCCAAGGAUUUGCCAAGUUGCACCAUCUCAUUGUCAACCAAUGGCAAAUGAACCUUCUCUGUUUCCAUCUUCAUCAUGGAUGAUCACUGCUGUUAAAGGUGCAGAGAUGCAAGAGAAAGGGAUUGUGGGACAGAGGAAUACAAACCAUCUGCUGCCUCUGACAGGAAGACACAAAAUACCUAAUUCUGUUAAUUUAAAACCAGGAUCUCAGAGUGUCUGUGAUAAAACUUGUCACACCAUUAUUAAGUCUCACCCACCACAACCAGCAAAGGAAUGGCAAUCAAUGACCCUUGCCAUAAGGGCUGAGGUGAAUCCUGUCAAACAUGCAUGCGUGGCAUACAAAUCCACAGAAUUUCAGGACAGGGAGUCGAGAAAUGGGCCUGUCCACUGCUAUUCCAAUCCCAUCCUGGGAGGGCACUGUGGCAGAAGCAAAACACUACAGGAACGGAGAGUUUGUGAUGGUGUUUCAAGACUAAAAGAUGUAGAUAAAGAGGGAGAAGACUGA
ensembl:lncRNA